rnacentral:miRNA from 1 species
AAUAGACCAAGACAUGCACACAGA